CAAAUUCCUGCAGCUGGGCUUGCUGCGACACCCUUUGAACUGCUGUGGCCCCAGCUGGUUCCCUUAAUUAGUCGGGGUAUCUUUCCCACCUCAGCUUGGUGCAGUUUCUUCGGCAUCUCCGGGCUAGAAUAUCAUCUGUCAACUAAAACAGCUUUUAAGAGCAAAUGCUGUGGUGAUAAUAACUUCCACUAAACAGAAGUACAGACUGCAACAAGAAAUAAAAAUCAUCAUGAUUGGUCCUGCUUUUAAUAGUUUUGAUUGAAAAGCAGUGGACUGACGCAUCCCUGGAGACUGAAAUAAUUUCACAACUUUAAAGAACUCAGACCCCUGAUUAGGGGUCAGGUAUGUUGUCAGAAUGGCAUGAUGAAACUUGUACUGUUAUUGCCCGUACUGUACUCGUUCUGUGUUUUGUUUUGUUUUGUUUUUAAACAGCUGAUUUUGGAUGUCACCUCUUUCUGAAUACUAAAAUGGAAAUUUUCCAAGGGCAGUUAAAACAUCUGUUUCCCACUGAGAGUCAAUGAGAAUGUGAUGCUUCAUUCUCAGCUGUACCUUUGGAAGUUUCCACCUAAAUUUGAAGGAAAAAAAAGAUGAGCAUCCCAGUAGAUAACUGUAUCAUGAUACAGUAAUAGAUCCAUUACAAGACUUAACAAUUGUGCCCAGGUACGGGCAUGAAGUCUUUGAAUCAGCCUAAAUGCACUGAUGUUGGUAUUAGCUCUUCCUGUUCCUUAUUAUUUGGAAGAAUUGCCUAACUGAUAACUGUUUCUAUGAGUCAGGACAGAAGUAAAUGUUUUUGGUACUCAUCAGUUUGUGGGAAUGAUGGUAUGGUAUUUCUAGGAAGGACCCUUUCUUCAUGAAGGAUGUGCUUCAUCA